UUGCUUCAGCAGCAUAUAUACUAAAAUUGGAACGAUACACAGAAGAUUAGCAUGGCCCCUGAGCAAGAAUGGCAUGCAAAUUCGUGAAGCAUUCCACAUUUAA
ensembl:snRNA U6 U6 spliceosomal RNA